rnacentral:rRNA from 1 species
AACCUACCUAUCAGGAGGGGAACUAACCCGGCGAAAGUCGGACUAAUACCGCAUAAAACAGGGGGCACCGCAUGGUGAUAUUUGUUAAAGAAAUUCGCUGAUAGAUGGGCAUGCGUUCCAUUAGGUAGUUGGUGAGGUAACGGCUCACCAAGCCGACGAUGGAUAGGGGAACUGAGAGGUUGGUCCCCCACACUGGUACUGAGACACGGACCAGACUCCUACGGGAGGCAGCAGUGAGGAAUAUUGGUCAAUGGGCGAGAGCCUGAACCAGCCAAGUCGCGUAGAAGGAAGAAGGAUCUAUGGUUACGUAAACUUUCUUUGCGAGGGGAAUAAAGUGCAGGACGUGUCCUGUUUUGUAUGUACCCUGAGAAUAAGGAUCGGCUAACUCCGUGCCAGCCGCCGC